rnacentral:tRNA from 1 species
AGGUGUGUAGUGUAAUUGGUAGCACGAUGGUUUCCAAAGCCAUUAGUGGGGUUCGAGUCCUUCCGCACCUG